rnacentral:rRNA from 1 species
GAUGAACGCUGGCGGCGUGCUUAACACAUGCAAGUCGAACGGUGAAGCAGGAGCUUGCUCUUGUGGAUCAGUGGCGAACGGGUGAGUAACACGUGAGCAACCUGCCCCUGACUCUGGGAUAAGCGCUGGAAACGGCGUCUAAUACUGGAUAUGUGAUGUGACCGCAUGGUCUGCAUCUGGAAAGAAUUUCGGUUGGGGAUGGGCUCGCGGCCUAUCAGCUUGUUGGUGAGGUAAUGGCUCACCAAGGCGUCGACGGGUAGCCGGCCUGAAAGGGUGACCGGCCACACUGGGACUGAGACACGGCCCAGACUCCUACGGGAGGCAGCAGUGAGGAAUAUUGCACAAUGGGCGGAAGCCUGAUGCAGCAACGCCGCGUGAGGGAUGACGGCCUUCGGGUUGUAAACCUCUUUUAGCAGGGAAGAAGCGAAGUGACGGUACCUGCAGAAAAAGCACCGGCUAACUACGUGCCAGCCGCCGCAGUAA